rnacentral:rRNA from 1 species
GACGAACGCUGGCGGCGUGCUUAACACAUGCAAGUCGAGCGGUAAGGCCCUUUCGGGGGUACACGAGCGGCGAACGGGUGAGUAACACGUGGGUGACCUGCCCUUAGCUCUGGGAUAAGCCUGGGAAACUGGGUCUAAUACCGGAUAUGACUCCAUGACGCAUGUUGUGGGGUGGAAAGCCUUGUGCGGCUAGGGAUGGGCCCGCGGCCUAUCAGCUUGUUGGUGGGGUGANGGCCUACCAAGGCGACGACGGGUAGCCGGCCUGAGAGGGCGACCGGCCACACUGGGACUGAGACACGGCCCAGACUCCUACGGGAGGCAGCAGUGGGGAAUCGUUGCGCAAUGGGCGAAAGCCUGACGCAGCGACGCCGCGUGAGGGAUGACGGCCUCGGU